rnacentral:rRNA from 1 species
CCUACGGGUGGCAGCAGUGAGGAAUAUUGGUCAAUGGCCGGAAGGCUGAACCAGCCAAGUCGCGUGAGGGACGACUGCCCUCUGGGUUUUAAACCUCUUUUAUAAGGGAAGAAUAAAUGCUACGUGUAGCAUGAUGCAUGUACCUUAUGAAUAAGCAUCGGCUAACUCCGUGCCAGCAGCCGCGGUAAUACGGGGGAUGCGAGCGUUAUCCGGAUUUAUUGGGUUUAACGGGUGCGUAGGCGGUUUUUUAAGUUAGUGGUAAAACGUCGGGGCUUCACCUGGAUUUGCCAUUGAUACUGUAAGACUCGAGUUUGGGAGAGGUAGGUGGAAUACGUGAAGUAGCGGUGAAAUGCUUAGAUAUAACGUAGAACUCCGAUAGCGAAGGCAGCUUACCGGACUACGACUGACGCUGAGGCGCGAGAGCGUGGGUAGCGAACAGGAUUAGAUACCCGAGUAGUC